rnacentral:rRNA from 1 species
GAUGAACGCUAGCGGGAGGCCUAACACAUGCAAGCCGAGCGGUAGAGUUUCUUCGGAAACUUGAGAGCGGCGCACGGGUGCGUAACACGUGUGCAACCUACCUUUAUCUGGGGGAUAGCCUUUCGAAAGGAAGAUUAAUACCCCAUAAUAUAAUGACUGGCAUCAAUUAUUAUUGAAAACUCCGGUGGAUAGAGAUGGGCACGCGCAAGAUUAGAUAGUUGGUGAGGUAACGGCUCACCAAGUCAAUGAUCUUUAGGGGUCCUGAGAGGGAGAUCCCCCACACUGGUACUGAGACACGGACCAGACUCCUACGGGAGGCAGCAGUGAGGAAUAUUGGACAAUGGGUGAGAGCCUGAUCCAGCCAUCCCGCGUGAAGGAUGACGGUCCUAUGGAUUGUAAACUUCUUUUGUACAGGGAUAAACCUACCCUCGUGAGGGUAGCUGAAGGUACUGUACGAAUAAGCACCGGCUAACUCCGUG